CCUACGGGGGGCAGCAGUGAGGAAUAUUGGUCAAUGGGCGAGAGCCUGAACCAGCCAAGUCGCGUGAAGGAUGAAGGAUCUAUGGUUUGUAAACUUCUUUUAUAUGGGAAUAAAGUGAGGAACGUGUUCCUUUUUGUAUGUACCAUAUGAAUAAGCAUCGGCUAACUCCGUGCCAGCAGCCGCGGUAAUACGGAGGAUGCGAGCGUUAUCCGGAUUUAUUGGGUUUAAAGGGUGCGUAGGUGGUUAAUUAAGUCAGCGGUGAAAGUUUGUGGCUCAACCAUAAAAUUGCAGUUGAAACUGGUUGUCUUGAGUAUAUUUGAGGUAGGCGGAAUGCGUGGUGUAGCGGUGAAAUGCAUAGAUAUCACGCAGAACUCCGAUUGCGAAGGCAGCUUACUAAACUAUAACUGACACUGAAGCACGAAAGCGUGGGGAUCAAACAGGAUUAGAUACCCUUGUAGUC
rnacentral:rRNA from 1 species